AAGGGCGCCGUCGCCGAAAGGAUUCUACUUGGCUCUCCCCGCUCUCUCGGAAAAGUAAGAAAAGGGCCGUCGAAAUUUUUAAGUCAAUAAGAAAACACAGGACUCGGCCGGCCUUCCAUAAUAUUCGGCGUUCGAUUCAAAGGAGAUGGGCGAUCGGAUGGCGCCGAAGAGUGUGCUGCUGCCGGUGUCCGAUCCCCCGCGCCGUGGCAGCGGCGGAGACGGCCUUGAAUUCAAGGGCUCUGCCAUGUCCAAGCGAGGCGCCUACGCCGCCCUCUCCUACAUGACCUGCGCCGUAUUUCUUGUGAUGUUCAACAAAGCAGCCCUAUCUUCAUAUAAUUUUCCUAGUGCUAAUGUUAUAACUCUCUUUCAGAUGAUAAUUUCAACAUGCAUUCUUUAUGCAAUGAAACGCUGGAAGAUUAUUUCAUUUACAGUUGUGGAGCCAUGGACUGCAUCUGAUACGGCAAGCCUUGUACCACUUAAGACUUUAUUGCAUACCCUUCCACUUUCAUCAGCGUAUUUUUUUUACAUGUUGGCUUCAAUGGAGUCUGUGCGUGGGGUAAAUGUUCCAAUGUACACCACCCUUAGACGUACGACUGUGGUGUUUACAAUGAUUGUGGAGUGUCUGUUAACUGGGCAAAAGUAUUCAUCUUCUGUGGUUGGCAGUGUGGCAUUGAUUGUUUUCGGUGCAUUUGUUGCUGGAGCUUGGGACUUGUCCUUCGAUGCCUAUGGCUAUUCCAUUGUCUUUAUAGCGAACAUCGCUACUGCAAUUUAUCUUGCAACUAUAGCCCGUGUUGGAAAGUCUAGCGGUCUCAAUAGCUUUGGUCUCAUGUGGUGUAAUGGUGAUAAUUCAUGGAUUAGUCUGUGGACCGAUUUUUUUCUUCUGGACAUUUAUUUGGGGGGAUUUGAAGCUCACAAUGAAUUUUCCUCACCUUUAUUCUCCUGGAUUUCAGGCUGUGAUGCUCCUUUCCUGUAUAAUGGCGUUUUUCUUGAAUUACAGCAUCUUUUUAAACACAACCCUGAAUUCUGCAGUCACCCAGACCAUAUGUGGUAAUCUAAAGGAUUUCUUUACUGUUGGAUUUGGCUGGUUAGUGUUUGGUGGACUUCCUUUCGAUUUGCUCAACGUUAUUGGCCAAGGUCUUGGUUUUGUUGGCUCUGGCUUAUAUGCCUACUGCAAACUGAAGGGAAGCAGUCAUUGAUCGGCUAAAACCUAUUUAUUGCAGCAGUUCUCCCUAAAUGGAGUUUUAACAAGAUUUACUGAAGCAGCUUCAUGAAGUAAUUGUUGAGGCCAAAUUUUUGGUCAUGCCAUCAAUGGUGAUAUUUUUUGUGCAUGUUUUUUUUAUUUCUUUUGAUCAAAUCUAUUUAUCUAUGUACAAGAAAGUAGGACAUCAUGAAUUGGGUAGGAGACAUUAAUACUUGUUAAAAUAAUUUUCAAUGUGCGUUGA